AUACGGAGGGGGCUAGCGUUGUUCGGAAUUACUGGGCGUAAAGCGUACGUAGGCGGACUGAUCAUUUGGGGGUGAAAUCCCAGGGCUUAACCCUGGAACUGCCUUCAAUACUGUCAGUCUUGAGAUUGGAAGAGGUGAGUGGAAUUCCUAGUGUAGAGGUGAAAUUCAUAGAUAUUAGGAGGAACACCAGUGGCGAAGGCGGCUCACUGGUCCAAUACUGACGCUGAGGUACGAAAGCGUGGGGAGCAAACAGGAUUAGAAACCCUAGUAGUCC
rnacentral:rRNA from 1 species